rnacentral:lncRNA from 1 species
GAUUAGUUAAUCAAAUUGCUAAUUGGAAAUAAAUUUAAUCAUCUAGAUCCAGUUCUGACAAACAAUGCAUUAUUUAGUCUUGCUUGGUUAAAAAUGGAUCUUCUCUUCCGGGAAAACUGAGGCAACACAUCCAGAAUUAAUAAUUUUAUAAAGGAUCCUUUCCACUGAAGAGAUGACUCAAAAGCCCUUCCCAAAAAACACAACUUAUACAAUGAGAUCUCUGUAAUUCUGUAGUCCUAAUGACCUAAACAAUAUUAUUAAACAUGUGUACUAUAUAACUGUUAGUAAAUAUAAACAUAGACUAAAGUACAUUAAUGUGACAAUCAAAGAAUUACUUUUAAUGUAAGCAUUAGUAAACAUGGGAAAAGAAGUGUAUUUUGGGGAGUGGGAUGAAGAAAUCUAAAUCUUUAUCUUACAAAUCAAUAGAUACUAUAGAUAUGGAACAGACAUAUGUGAGUGGUGGGCCCACUAUGCUGACCCCCACAUGCUUCCCAAGAAAAAAUUUACCUGCAACCCUGCCUGGUAGGGUAGAGGGGAAAGCUUUUGUGACUCUUAAACAAACCAGUCAGCAUGAGCCAAAGUAAUCUAGAGUUGUCAUGUGCAAUGGAGACUUGAAAGUCUGAUGUCAUCCUGCUGUCAGUCAAAAGUCAAGAGGUGAACCUAGGCCAGGCUUUCUGAAAACUUCCCUAGGACCCCCCAAUAAAACCAGAAGGCUGGAAGAGCAAGCCAUCCUUCUUCUCUCUGAGAGGACCCGCUCUCUUCCUUGAGAGUAUCCCCUUUUCCUAGCCCUUCUCAUAAACUCAUGCUGAUCACUCAGAGUGACAGGUCUCUUUAUGGCUUGAAUGCAAGAAUCCAGAGGUGUUCCCAGCUGACAGUCUCUCAGCAGGCAGGUGCCUUGUAACAUUAUUUACAACUGAAAAAUUAUGAAGCACUACAAUAUGCCUGUUUGAUAAAGAUAGAAACACGAAUUACAGGAAACAGCUUUAAAACAUAAAAUAGUUACUAUAGGAACCAAUAAUUACACAGACAGGACCACGUGAGAGGUUGACUGUAUUGAGUCUUACUGAAUUAUUUAAUCUCAAUCUAUGUAUGCUGAAAUUUGAAUUUUCAUACCAGUUUCAGUGCCCCCAUUCCUCUAAGUGCAUAAAAAAACUAAUCUGAAUCUCUUCAAAGCCAUGCUGGCCUGGCAAGUGGGAUGGAGAAUAUCUGCAGUGAAGACAAGUGAAGGCUCCCAGCUCUGCUCUCUGUCAACAAAAAAGAAAAAAAAAAAAAAACAUCAUGAUUUUAAAUGCAAAGCCUGCACACGCAGGCAUCCAUACAGCACCUUCCUGCUCAUAGACACACGCGAUCUACCCGGAACAUUUGCACAACAGGGCUCUGAGGAGGCGACAGACCAGAAGGUGGAACAGUACGAACUCCGCUUUCAGCUACUGCAACAUCAACUCUAACGUUUGGGGCAAGAACUGUCGUGGAAACAAAGGGGAAAUACUGGGUCAGGGCUGGCACCACACUCCUGCACACUGGGCCCCGGGGUGCACCUCCAGGGCGGGGGCGGAGCUGACGCGCCAGUCCCGCCCCAGCCCAUGUCCUCUAACUGUCCCUUCGCUGCGCCUUUCCAGUCAGGAAGCCGUACGAGGAGAGUCUCACGUCGGAUGCCAGCUGGCUGCCUUCCUGGGCGCCCCACGCUGCGCCAUGCUGCUCCUCCGAAGUGUCCUGGCCCCACGCUGCGCCAUGCUGCCCCUCCGAAGCGUCCUGGCCCGGGCUCUGACCGCACGCACGC